rnacentral:rRNA from 1 species
UACAGAGGGUGCAAGCGUUAAUCGGAAUUACUGGGCGUAAAGCGCGCGUAGGCGGUUUGAUAAGUUGGAUGUGAAAUCCCCGAGCUCAACUUGGGAACUGCAUCCAAAACUGUCUGACUAGAGUACAGUAGAGGGUGGUGGAAUUUCCUGUGUAGCGGUGAAAUGCGUAGAUAUAGGAAGGAACACCAGUGGCGAAGGCGACCACCUGGACUGAUACUGACGCUGAGGUGCGAAAGCGUGGGGAGCAAAC